GACGUAGGGCGCGAGCGUUGUCCGGAUUUAUUGGGCGUAAAGAGCUCGUAGGCGGCUUGUCGCGUCGACUGUGAAAUCCCGAGGCUCAACUUCGGGCUUGCAGUCGAUACGGGCAGGCUAGAGUUCGGUAGGGGAGACUGGAAUUCCUGGUGUAGCGGUGAAAUGCGCAGAUAUCGGGAGGAACACCGAUGGCGAAGGCAGGUCUCUGGGCCGAUACUGACGCUGAGGAGCGAAAGCGUGGGGAGCGAACAGG
rnacentral:rRNA from 1 species